AGUUGGUUAUUUCUGAUUAAUAUUUAAAAGCAAAUAAUAAUGAUAUGGUAGGAGAUACACACCAAACAGGAUGUGUAAAUUAUUAUAUAAUAAGUAUUGUGCAAUAGCAAGAAAUUUUCAAUUGCAUAGUAUUGCACAAUUGCAAGAAAUCUUCAAUUGCACAGUAUUGCGCAAUAGCAAGAAAUCUUCAAUUGCACAGUAUUGCGCAAUAGCAAGAAAUAUCCAAUAGCACAAUAUUGCGCAAUAGCAAGAAAUUGUCAAUUGUACAGUAUUGCACAAUAGCAAGAAAUAUUCAAUUGCACAGUAUUGUGCAAAAGAAGAUACUUCGUAUAAAUUGCUUAUUUCUUGAUCAAUUUCAAUGGGGUUUUAUUCUUGAAUUCUUGGGGUUCUUUAAUUUGCUGAAUCUAACCGUGUAUUAAGUUUUUGGAUUUUGGGCCCCGUUUUUAAAUUGGUCCACAUUGAGGUCCAAAGGGUCCAAAAUUUAACUUUGUUUGAUUUCAUCAAAAAUUUAAUUAUUGGGGUUCUUUGAUAUGCCGAAUCUAACCGUGUAUUUAGAUUCUUAAUUUUUGGUUCCGUUUUCAAAUUGGUCUACAUUAAGGUCCAAAGGGUCCAAAAUUAAACUUAGUUUGAUUUUAACAAAAAUUUAAUUUUUAGGGUUCUUUGAUAUGCUGAAUCUAAACAUGUAUUUAGAUUUUUGAUUAUGGGCCCAGUUUUCAAGUUGGUCCAAAUCGGGGUCCAAAAUUAAACUUUGUUUGAUUUCAACAAAAAUUGAAUAUAUGGGGUUCUUUGAUAUGCUGAAUCUAACCAUGUAUUUAGAUUUUUGAUUUUUGGGCCCCGUUAUCAACUUUGUCCACAUUGAGGUCAAAAGGGUCCAAAAUUUAACUUUGUUUGAUUUCAUCAAAAAUUGAAUUAUUGGGGUUCUUUGAUAUGCUGAAUCUAACCGUGUAUUUAGAUUCUUAAUUUUUGGUUCCGUUUUCAAAUUGGUCUACAUUAAGGUCCAAAGGGUCCAAAAUUAAACUUAGUUUGAUUUUAACAAAAAUUGAAUUUUUAGGGUUCUUUGAUAUGCUGAAUCUAAACAUGUAUUUAGAUUUUUGAUUAUGGGCCCAGUUUUCAAGCUGGUCCAAAUUGGGGUCCAAAAUUAAACUUUGUUUGAUUUCAACAAAAAUUGAAUAUAUGGGGUUCUUUGAUAUGCUGAAUCUAACCAUGUAUUUAGAUUUUUGAUUUUUGGGCCCCGUUAUCAACUUUGUCCACAUUGAGGUCAAAAGGGUCCAAAAUUUAACUUUGUUUGAUUUCAUCAAAAAUUGAAUUAUUGGGGUUCUUUGAUAUGCCGAAUCUAACCGUGUAUUUAGAUUCUUAAUUUUGGUUCUGUUUUCAAAUUGGUCUACAUUAAGGUCCAAAGGGUCCAAAAUUAAACUUAGUUUGAUUUUAACAAAAAUUGAAUUUUUAGGGUUCUUUGAUAUGUUGAAUCGAAACAUGUAUUUAGAUUUUUGAUUAUGGGCCCAGUUUUCAAGUUGGUCCAAAUCGGGGUCCAAAAUUAAACUUUGUUUGAUUUCAUCAAAAAUUGAAUUCUUGGGGUUCUUUGAUAUGCUGAAUCUAACCAUGUAUUUAGAUUUUGGAUAUUGGACCAUAAUAGGUGAAUGUCCAAUUUAAAAUUUUUAAGUUCUUAGACCACAUUCAUUCUGUGUCAGAAACCUAUGCUGUGUCAAAUAUUUAAUCACAAUCCAAAUUCAGAGCUGUAUCAAGCUUGAAUGUUGUGUCCAUACUUGCCCCAAAUGUUCAGGGUUCGACCUCUGCGGUCGUAUCAAGCUGCGCCCUGCGGAGCAUUUUAUUUAAAUUGGUCUACAUUAAGGUCCAAAGGGUCCAAAAUUAAACUUAGUUUGAUUUUAACAAAAAUUGAAUUUUUGGGGUUCUUUGAUAUGCUGAAUCUAAACAUGUGUUUAGAUUUUUGAUUAUGGGACCAGUUUUCAAGUUGGUCCAAGUUGGGGUCCAAAAUUAAACUUUGUUUGAUUUCAACAAAAAUUGAAUAUAUGGGGUUCUUUGAUAUGCUGAAUCUAAACAUGUAUUUAGAUUUUAGAUUUUUGGCCCAGUUUUCAAGUUGGUCCAAAUUGGGGUCCAAAAUUAAACUUUGUUUGAUUUCAACAAAAAUUGAAUAUAUGGGGUUCUUUGAUAUGCUGAAUCUUACCAUGUAUUUAGAUUUUUUAUUUUGUGGGCCCGCUAUCAAAUUGGUUCAUAUUGAGGUCAAAAGGGUCCAAAAUUAAACUUUGUUUGAUUUCAUCAAAAAUUGAAUUAUUGGGGUUCUUUGAUAUGCCAAAUCUAACCGUGUUUUUAGAUUUUUAAUUUUGGGUCCCGUUUUUUAAAUUGGUCUACAUUAAGGUCCAAAGGGUCCAAAAUUAAACUUAGUUUGAUUUUAACAAAAAUUGAAUUCUUGGGGUACUUUGAUAUGCUGAAUCUAAACAUUUGUUUAGAUUUUUAAUUAUGGGACCAGUUUUCAAGUUUGUCCAAGUUGGGGUCCAAAAUUAAACUUUGUUUGAUUUCAACAAAAAUUGAAUAUAUGGGGUUCUUUGAUAUGCUGAAUCUAACCAUGUAUUUUGAUUUUGGACAUUGGACCAUAAUAGGUAAAUUAAAAAAAUUGAAGUUCUUAGACCACAUUCUUUCUGUGUCAGAAACCUAUG